AACGAACGCUGGCGGCAGGCCUAACACAUGCAAGUCGAGCGAGGACUUCGGUCCUAGCGGCGGACGGGUGAGUAACGCGUGGGAACGUGCCCUUUGCUUCGGAAUAGCCCUGGGAAACUGGGAGUAAUACCGGAUGAGCCCUUUGGGGGAAAGAUUUAUCGGCGAAGGAUCGGCCCGCGUUGGAUUAGGUAGUUGGUGGGGUAAUGGCCUACCAAGCCGACGAUCCAUAGCUGGUUUGAGAGGAUGAUCAGCCACACUGGGACUGAGACACGGCCCAGAAUCCUACGGGAGGCAGCAGUGGGGAAUCUUAGACAAUGGGGGAAACCCUGAUCUAGCCAUGCCGCGUGAGCGAUGAAGGCCUUAGGGUUGUAAAGCUCUUUCAGCUGGGAAGAUAAUGACGGUACCAGCAGAAGAAGCCCCGGCUAACUCCGUG
rnacentral:rRNA from 1 species